CCAGCGUGGAGCACGAGGUGGGCGAGCGCCUCGGAAUCCGGCGUGCCCGCGCGUCCGCCACGAGGGGCCGGCCGAGCCCCCACCCUCUUCGGGGCUGCGGUUUCCCGUUCCUGAUCGCACCCCUUUCCCACCCCUAGAGCACCGCUCGCCUCGAACCCCCGGCCAUUUUCACAACCCUGGGUGAUCUCUGGUCCUCUUUGAACAAAGCCGUUUAUCCGGGGCUCUGCAGGGCCUGGGACUCUGGUCACCUGCCCUGUCGCCCUCUGCUUUCCUCCCCUCCGCCCCUCUCAUGGGUACUCUCCCGGAUCUCUUCCCGGGUGGGGUCUCUGCUGUUUCCUUCUCUCCUUGAGAGACUCGCUUGGGAGUCUCUGGGUCGCCCCCACCCGCCCCCCACAGCCUUUCCUCUCUCUUUGGGUCGCCGGGAUUUCCCUGCUUCCUAUUAGGACAUCUCUGGGGUUUUUACCUCCGGGGUUUGGCUGCCCAUUUCCCCUUUUAGUCGGCCUCUUGAAUCCGGCUCUUUCCCCCACAAGGGCUCCGCUUCGCUUCCAACGCCUUUCUGAGUUGGCGACGUGGCCGGGCCGGCACCGCGGCUCCCCAUUUCCAUCCCGCGCCAGGCUCGGGCUCCGCCGAAGGCAGGGCUCUGGCUGUCGGAUGCGCCCUCGAUCUUCCAGAGAAGGGCAGUGGAGACCCGGCGAGGCUGGGGAGGCCUCUGCCUGGGUCGCUGCGGUCUUCCCGGGUGGCACGAAAAGCCCGCGCGUCCCUUCCACCUGGGACCAGCGGAACUCCUGCUCCUGGCCCGAAUGGGAGAGCGGGAAAUGGGGCACCAGAAACUUUUUGGGUCUGGAUCGGGGUCAACUCCCCGACUUCGACGCCACGGGUCAUCGCGUCCUUUCCACGCCUUUUUCGGUCUCUGUCGUGUCUGUAUCUCCGUGUCUGAGGUU
rnacentral:lncRNA from 1 species